UGCAGUCGAGCGGUAGAGAGAGGCUUGCUUCUCUUGAGAGCGGCGGACGGGUGAGUAAUGCCUAGGAAUCUGCCUAGUGGUGGGGGAUAACGUUCGGAAACGGACGCUAAUACCGCAUACGUCCUACGGGAGAAAGCGGGGGAUCUUCGGACCUCGCGCCAUUAGAUGAGCCUAGGUCGGAUUAGCUAGUUGGUGAGGUAAUGGCUCACCAAGGCGACGAUCCGUAACUGGUCUGAGAGGAUGAUCAGUCACACUGGAACUGAGACACGGUCCAGACUCCUACGGGAGGCAGCAGUGGGGAAUAUUGGACAAUGGGCGAAAGCCUGAUCCAGCCAUGCCGCGUGUGUGAAGAAGGUCUUCGGAUUGUAAAGCACUUUAAGUUGGGAGGAAGGGCAGUAACCUAAUACGUUAUUGUUUUGACGUUACCGACAGAAUAAGCACCGGCUAACUUCGUGCCAGCAGCCGCGGUAAUACGAAGGGUGCAAGCGUUAAUCGGAAUUACUGGGCGUAAAGCGCGCGUAGGUGGUUCAGUAAGUUGGAAGUGAAAUCCCCGGGCUCAACCUGGGAACUGCUUUCAAAACUGCUGAGCUAGAGUACGGUAGAGGGUGGUGGAAUUUCCUGUGUAGCGGUGAAAUGCGUAGAUAUAGGAAGGAACACCAGUGGCGAAGGCGACCACCUGGACUGAUACUGACACUGAGGUGCGAAAGCGUGGGGAGCAAACAGGAUUAGAUACCCUGGUAGUCCACGCCGUAAACGAUGUCAACUAGCCCGUUGGAAUCCUUGAGAUUUUAGUGGCGCAGCUAACGCAUUAAGUUGACCGCCUGGGGAAGUACGGCCCGCAAGGUUAAAAACUC
rnacentral:rRNA from 1 species